rnacentral:lncRNA from 1 species
UGUAACUGAUGAGGAUAGGCUUCUAUCCUGUACGUGGACCAGCAUUCAUGGAACACUGAAACCUACCAGCCAAGAUGUUCUCAGACAGCAGAGCAACRAUGCUGACUUGUGUGAUUAUCACCAACUGAGGUAAUAUUUUUUGGCUCAAGAACUUUGAAUGCUAAGGAAAGUGCAAUUUCCGAAUGACACUGAGGAAAUCCUCCUUUUAGGAAAAACUGUGUGUGGGAACUUYCCUGAAAGCAUCCUCAGGUUGGUAUAUGCGUGUGGAGGAAAUCAUUGUCGGAAUAACAUUAAAUAUUCCCUCUCCCAGAGAACUACCACGGUAAGUGCAUGGAGACUCCUGGAAGGCAUAAAACAAAACGGGGUUAAGGUCUCUUAUUCUAUAGUACUGUCUCUCGAAUGAUCGCAUGUAAACGUACCUUUUUUGGUGAACCGUCCUCCUCCUCGGGUGUUCUUUCUCUCCGUCCUCGUGAGCUCCCCCCGCUGCUGCGGUCGCAGGUGUCUCUCCAGCCCCC